rnacentral:misc_RNA from 1 species
GGCACACUGAUGCGGUUACGGGGUAAGACGGCCCGAAACACCUAGGCGUGCAAUGCCUCAGCUGCCAACCAGUAUUGAGCCCAGUCCGUGAUAGGGCAAACAAGUUGCACGCGCUUCCGCAGGCACCACCGCAGUGUGGUCCAGCAGUGACUUGUGUAGUCCUCGUGGGAGGCUGGUUUUGA